rnacentral:misc_RNA from 1 species
GAUGAAGAACGUAGCGAAAUGCGAUAAGUAAUGUGAAUUGCAGAAUUCAGUGAACCAUCGAAUCUUUGAACGCACAUUGCGCCCCCUGGUAUUCCGGGGGGCAUGCCUGUCCGAGCGUCAUUGCUGCCCUCAAGCACGGCUUGUGUGUUGGGCCUCCGUCCUCCUCCCGGGGGACGGGCCCGAAAGGCAGCGGCGGCACCGCGUCCGGUCCUCGAGCGUAUGGGGCUUCGUCACCCGCUCUUGUAGGCCCGGCCGGCGCUUGCCGACACAUCAAUCUUUUUUCCAGGUUGACCUCGGAUCAGGUAGGGAUACCCGCUGAACUUAAGCAUAUCAAUAAGCGGAGGA